CGAACCCGAGACCUUCGGGAAUGUUUCUUUUCCAACGAACCAACUGCGCCAGCAGACUUUGUCAAUUUAGAAAGGAACAAAAUAUAUUUAAGUAGUACUAGUUAACAGAAACUUUAGGGUAUUAAAAGGGAGAACUUAGGGAUUAAUCACAAAACCUAAAUUCUUCCUCCCCUUUCUCUCGGCGACGGCGUUUUCUCUCGGGCGAAAAACGCAGCGAGCUUGAGGGCGUCUCCGGCGGCCGACCAAGGCUCGAUUCCAAGAGAUUUCUUCGCCCUCUCGAUCCUCUCGACAAGGAGAACUCGAAGACGCGAGGAAGAGGCCGAGAUCGUGAGUUUCUCCAAAGCCCUAGAAGCUAUCUUGCUCGGUUGUAAGUCCAAGAACCGAAGAUAAAGGAAAAAGCUAAAGUAUAAGGAAGAAGGCGACAAGGAG